CCUACGGGUGGCAGCAGUGGGGAAUAUUGGGCAAUGGGCGCAAGCCUGACCCAGCAACGCCGCGUGAGGGAAGAAGGCUUUCGGGUUGUAAACUUCUUUUGACCGGGAAGCGCAGAAGACGGUACCUGUCGAAUGAGCGACGGCUAACUACGUGCCAGCAGCCGCGGUAAUACGUAGGGGGCAGGCGGUGUCCGGAUUUACUGGGGGUAAAGGGCGUGUAGCCGGGCUGACAAGGCAGAUGGGAAAUCCGGGGGCUCAACCCCCGAACUGCAUUUGAAACUGUGGGUCUUGAGUAGCGGAGAGGCAGGCGGAAUGCCUGGUGUAGCGGUGAAAUGCGUAGAUAUUAGGCGGAACACCAGUGGCGAAGGCGGCCUGCUGGACGACAACUGACGGUGAGGCGCGAAAGCGUGGGUAGCAAACAGGAUUAGAUACCCUAGUAGUC
rnacentral:rRNA from 1 species